AGAGUUUGAUCCUGGCUCAGGACGAACGCUGGCGGCGUGCUUAACACAUGCAAGUCGAACGGUGAAGCAGAGCUUGCUCUGUGGAUCAGUGGCGAACGGGUGAGUAACACGUGAGUAACCUGCCCUUGACUCUGGGAUAAGCGUUGGAAACGACGUCUAAUACCGGAUACGACCUUCGGAGGCAUCUCCUGGGGGUGGAAAGAAUUUUGGUCAAGGAUGGACUCGCGGCCUACCAGCUAGUUGGUGAGGUAAUGGCUCACCAAGGCGACGACGGGUAGCCGGCCUGAGAGGGUGACCGGCCACACUGGGACUGAGACACGGCCCAGACUCCUACGGGAGGCAGCAGUGGGGAAUAUUGCACAAUGGGCGCAAGCCUGAUGCAGCAACGCCGCGUGAGGGAUGACGGCCUUCGGGUUGUAAACCUCUUUUAGUAGGGAAGAAGCGAAAGUGACGGUACCUGCAGAAAAAGCACCGGCUAACUACGUGCCAGCAGCCGCGGUAAUACGUAGGGUGCAAGCGUUGUCCGGAAUUAUUGGGCGUAAAGAGCUCGUAGGCGGUUUGUCGCGUCUGCUGUGAAAACUGGAGGCUCAACCUCCAGCCUGCAGUGGGUACGGGCAGACUAGAGUGCGGUAGGGGAGAUUGGAAUUCCUGGUGUAGCGGUGGAAUGCGCAGAUAUCAGGAGGAACACCGAUGGCGAAGGCAGAUCUCUGGGCCGUAACUGACGCUGAGGAGCGAAAGCGUGGGGAGCGAACAGGAUUAGAUACCCUGGUAGUCCACGCCGUAAACGUUGGGAACUAGAUGUGGGGACCAUUCCACGGUCUCCGUGUCGCAGCUAACGCAUUAAGUUCCCCGCCUGGGGAGUACGGCCGCAAGGCUAAAACUCAAAGGAAUUGACGGGGGCCCGCACAAGCGGCGGAGCAUGCGGAUUAAUUCGAUGCAACGCGAAGAACCUUACCAAGGCUUGACAUAUACGAGAACGGGCCAGAAAUGGUCAACUCUUUGGACACUCGUAAACAGGUGGUGCAUGGUUGUCGUCAGCUCGUGUCGUGAGAUGUUGGGUUAAGUCCCGCAACGAGCGCAACCCUCGUUCUAUGUUGCCAGCACGUAAUGGUGGGAACUCAUAGGAGACUGCCGGGGUCAACUCGGAGGAAGGUGGGGAUGACGUCAAAUCAUCAUGCCCCUUAUGUCUUGGGCUUCACGCAUGCUACAAUGGCCGGUACAAAGGGCUGCAAUACCGUAAGGUGGAGCGAAUCCCAAAAAGCCGGUCUCAGUUCGGAUUGAGGUCUGCAACUCGACCUCAUGAAGUCGGAGUCGCUAGUAAUCGUGGAUCAGCAACGCCACGGUGAAUACGUUCCCGGGCCUUGUACACACCGCCCGUCAAGUCAUGAAAGUCGGUAACACCCGAAGCCAGUGGCCCAACCGUAAGGAGGGAGCUGUCGAAGGUGGGAUCGGUGAUUAGGACUAAGUCGUAACAAGGUA
rnacentral:rRNA from 1 species